rnacentral:sRNA from 1 species
UAGAAGAUUAGCAUGGCCCCUGAGCAAGGAUGACACGUAAAUUCAUGAAGCAUUACAUAUUCUU